rnacentral:rRNA from 1 species
GAUGAACGCUGGCGGCGUGCCUAAUACAUGCCAGUCGAGCGAAUAAAGGGGGAUUUUGCUCCUCUUAAGUGGCGGGCGGGCGGGUGAUUCCCACGAGUAUGCCUGGUAGUGGGGGCUAACAUCACUUAGCGAGCCCUGAUCCCGCACCGGAUCAGAUGUUGAAACGCAGGGUUCAUUAGAGAUCGACCUUUUAGCUGUCACUUAUUCGUAUAUCCUAGUCGCAUUAGCUAGUUGGUACGGUAACGGCUUACCAAGGCAACGAUGCGUAGCUGACCUGAGAGGGUGAUCGGCCACACUGGAACUGAGACACGGUCCAGACUCCUACGGGAGGCAGCAGUAGGGAAUCUUCGGCAAUGGGCGAAAGCCUGACGGAGCAACGCCGCGUGAGUGAUGAAGGUCUUCGGAUCGUAAAACUCUGUUAUUAGGGAGGAACAAAUGUGUAAGUAACUAUGCACGUCUUGACGUUACCUAAUCAGAAAGCCACGGCUAACUACGUG